GAGUUUGAUUCUGGCUCAGGAUGAACGCUAGCGGGAGGCCUAACACAUGCAAGCCGAGCGGGAUUUGUUGGUUAGCUUGCUAACUAAUAAUGAGAGCGGCGUACGGGUGCGUAACACGUGUGCAACCUGCCUUUAUCUGGGGGAUAGCCUUUCGAAAGGAAGAUUAAUACCCCAUAAUAUAUUAAUUGGCAUCAAUUGAUAUUGAAAGCUCCGGCGGAUAGAGAUGGGCACGCGUAAGAUUAGCUAGUUGGUGAGGUAACGGCUCACCAAGGCUGCGAUCUUUAGGGGGCCUGAGAGGGUGAUCCCCCACACUGGUACUGAGACACGGACCAGACUCCUACGGGAGGCAGCAGUGAGGAAUAUUGGACAAUGGGUGAGAGCCUGAUCCAGCCAUCCCGCGUGAAGGACUAAGGACCUAUGGUUUGUAAACUUCUUUUAUACAGGGAUAAACCUACUCUCGUGAGGGUAGCUGAAAGGUACUGUAUGAAUAAGCCCCGG
rnacentral:rRNA from 1 species